rnacentral:tRNA from 1 species
GCCAGCAUGGGGUAGUGGUUUGAACGUUGGACUGGCACUCUGGAGACCAGGGUUCGAAUCCUGGCUCGGCCA